UAUGCAGCACAGACUGACUUUCUUUGGGGACUACCAAGGGACCCAUUGAAUGAAAGCGAUCUGGCUUGGUGCAGGCAGUCUCUUGCUUGGUUUCUAGAGUCCCUAGGACUCUCCUAGAACCCUUCGGCCUGAGGUAGGAUGGUCCUGAACCUGUCUAUAGUCCAAGACUUCUAGGCAUGAAAGGUUCUGUUUGUCAGCAUCUGGAAGCUGAAGACAAGCGUCAAGGGAGUCAAGAGUCAAGUUCCACCUUGGGAACUUGUCGCUUCAGGUCAAGCUGACACGGUUGGAAGCCCAGACACCUUCCUCCCAUAGAUACUGAUGGAGAACCCCCACCCCCUUUACUGUUCCAGGGACACAGGUCCUCACAGGAGAGACAUUCCCCACCCUCUGGUCAGCAUUGGCCUCGACCUUGGCCAGGGAAGCGGUUCUCUGCAGUGGGCAGCCGUUAGUGGCAGAGACUCACAACCCUUAUUCACAAAGGGGUGAGAAGAAAUUUCCUGGCAGAAUGUUUUCCCAGGAAGAUAGUGGCCUUCCCCUCUCCCACCUGGGAGAUUCCGAGUACAAGGUCACUUAACUCAGCCCAGUCAGUUACCUGGUGAUAAUAACAAGGAGAAAGCUGACUCAGCAGGAUGGGAGGGAGCAAAAGUCCUUGCGCCUGUGCCAAAGCAGCUUUGAAAAGCCUGUUUGUAGUUAUGCCUUUAAAAGCUUACUCCACAGAGGAGAUACAACUCCUCUCUACCUCAAUG